rnacentral:tRNA from 1 species
GGGGUUGUGACUCAGUGGUAGAGUGCUUAUCUUGCAUAUGUGAGACACUGGAUUUAAUCCUCAGCACCA